AUUGGACGCUGGCGGAAUGCUUUACACAUGCAAGUCGAACGGCAGCACGGACUUCGGUCUGGUGGCGAGUGGCGAACGGGUGAGUAAUAUAUCGGAACGUGCCCAGUCGUGGGGGAUAACGUAGUGAAAAUUACGCUAAUACCGCAUACGAUCUAUGGAUGAAAGCGGGGGAUCGCAAGACCUCGAGCGAUUGGAGCGGCCGAUAUCAGAUUAGGUAGUUGGUGAGGUAAAGGCUCACCAAGCCGACGAUCUGUAGCUGGUCUGAGAGGACGACCAGCCACACUGGAACUGAGACACGGUCCAGACUCCUACGGGAGGCAGCAGUGGGGAAUUUUGGACAAUGGACGCAAGUCUGAUCCAGCCAUUCCGCGUGCAGGACGAAGGCCUUCGGGUUGUAAACUGCUUUUGUACAGAACGAAAAGGUCUCUAUUAAUACUAGGGGCUCAUGACGGUACUGUAAGAAUAAGCACCGGCUAACUACGUGCCAGCAGCCGCCGUAA
rnacentral:rRNA from 1 species